AGAUCCAUGAUGACGAGAUGGUUU
rnacentral:siRNA from 1 species